AGCAGCCGCGGUAAUUCCAGCUCCAAUAGCGUAUAUUAAAGUUGUUGCAGUUAAAAAGCUCGUAGUUGAAUUUCGGGAUCAGCAGGUCGGUCGUGCCAAUGGUAUGCACUGGCCUUGCUGAUUCCUCCCUCUUGAUGAGCCGUAAUGUCAUUAAUUUGGUGUUGCGGGGAAUCAGGACUGUUACUUUGAAAAAAUUAGAGUGUUUAAAGCAGGCAAGCGCUUGAAUACAUUAGCAUGGAAUAAUGAAAUAGGACGUUUGAUCCUAUUUUGUUGGUUUCUAGGAUUGACGUAAUGAUUAAUAGGGAUAGUUGGGGGCAUUAGUAUUCAAUUGUCAGAGGUGAAAUUCUUGGAUUUAUUGAAGACUAACUACUGCGAAAGCAUUUGCCAAGGAUGUUUUCAUUAAUCAAGAACGAAAGUUAGGGGAUCGAAGACGAUCAGAUACCGUCGUAGUCUUAACCAUAAACUAUGCCGACUAGGAUCGGAUGAUGUUAAUUUUUUAAUGUA
rnacentral:rRNA from 1 species